AUCGCUUCUCGGCCUCUGGGCUAAGAGCGAGUGUAAUAUCUGUUUUUAUCAGUUUAAUAGAACUGUGAUGAGGAUUUUUUGGGAUAGGAUACUGUAUAUUUAACAUGUGGCUGAGGGUCUGGCAUGUGUACAGUGAAUAUUUAAAGACAUUGCAGUAAAAGAUGCAUUACCUUUC
rnacentral:snRNA from 1 species